AAAACAAAGACGAUUCAAUGAAUCUUUGGAUUAUGAGCUUAAAUUGGCCUCUAACAUUGACAUCUCUGAUGCUGAACUGGUUUUCUUCCCUGUUAUACGCUAUCAUCACUACUUCAUCAUGUGCUUGAACUUCAAGAAAAGGGUUGUCCAAGUAGUUGACAAUAGAACACUGGGCAAGAAUACCAACUUUCUACAAAGAUAUGAUAAUUGAGAUCAAAACCUAGUUAAUGCAUUCAAAGAGUAUUGCAAAUGUAAAAGGAUCACAACUUUGUUAAACAAAAUGACAAAGCAUGAUGAUGAUGAUGAUGAUGUGUUUAACCAUGAAUUGGUGAAGAUGUCUUGGAAAAAUGCCACUAAUGUUACUGAUUGUGGAGUUUAUUGCAUGCGUCAUAUGCAGACCUUUAAGGGUAAUGGACCGAAUUGGGAAUCUGGAUUUAACAGAACACCUGCAAAUGCAAUAUUCUUGACAUCUUUGAGGGCAAAAUAUGCUGCCGACAUAUUAUUUUUACUAAUGAAUGAGCA